AUUGAACGCUGGCGGCAUGCCUUACACAUGCAAGUCGAACGGCAGCACGGGGGCAAUCCUGGUGGCGAGUGGCGAACGGGUGAGUAAUAUAUCGGAACGUGCCCAGUCGUGGGGGAUAACGUAGCGAAAGCUACGCUAAUACCGCAUACGAUCUAUGGAUGAAAGGCGGGGGAUCGCAAGACCUCGCGCGAUUGGAGCGGCCGAUAUCAGAUUAGGUAGUUGGUGGGUAAAGGCCUACCAAGCCUUCGAUCUGUAGCUGGUCUGAGAGGACGACCAGCACACUGGAACUGAGACACGGUCCAGACUCCUACGGGAGGCAGCAGUGGGGAAUUUUGGACAAUGGCGCAAGCCUGAUCCAGCAAUGCCGCGUGCAGGAUGAAGGCCUUCGGUUGUAAAC
rnacentral:rRNA from 1 species